ensembl:lncRNA
CCUUAAACCAGGUUAAUAUCCUCUACCCAACCCUUCCCUUUAAACCAGGUUAAUAUCCUCUACCCAACCCUUCCCUUUAAACCAGGUUAAUAUCCUCUACCCAACCCUUCCCUUUAAACCAGGUUAAUAUCCUCUAUCCAACCCUUCCCUUUAAACCAGGUUAAUAUCCUCUAUCCAACCCUUUAUUUUAUUUUAUAUUUUUUUUACUUUUACUUCUUUACAUUUUUUAAUCCAUUAAAGUUUGUUUUAAUCAAAUCAAAUCAAGUCGAAGUAUAAAAAUGAGAACUCCAUCACCCUUGUACCGUUACCUUGCCAAAACCUUCACCAUACAUGCAGAAGAGGGUUAGAAGAGGAAGUCCUGAGGUGUCCCUGCCAGUCCCAGAGCUCUCAACUGUCUCCCUACUCCAUUAGUCUCUGUCAUCAAACACGUUUAGAUUGUUGUUUUUUGUUGACAUUUUGACAGUAUAUCAAUAUGUCCCCUCUAAAAGAUACAAAGGACAAGGUCAAAGGACAUACGGGGUUGCCCGAGUCCCUGAAACCGCCAACGUCUCACCUCUCUCCGGAACGCUGCGGUCGCACACCUAAAACCAAUCCCGGAGACAGUCUGGACAGCCUAUGCUACUGCUCUGGUGUUGCAUCGCUAUUUCGGUAUAUAUUAUAUCUAUUUAUAACAAGGCACGGUAUCAUUCGACAAUUUUAUAUCAUGGCUACAGACGGAGUUGACAACCACCACUAACGUUAGGCAAAUCAAGUCAAUAAGCUACACAGCGGACGUUUAUAAAAGGUACCCACGUGUAUGGUCGCUGUCUUCCUCUGGCGGUGCGCUACAACAUGCCACAAAGAUAAUAUAUAGGUGCUCCAACACGCACUGGAAAAUUAUAUCAACAUCUUUGUUUCAAUCCUUCUUGGUUAAUAGAAAGUUGGCAAAGGUAGACAGUAACACUGAAGCUGUCCCGAAAGGGUCCGUGUCUGUCUGAGUAUGCGAGUGGAGUACGGAUGUGUAAACGGAGCCGACUCCGAGGAUGUCACGACUCGUGGAUGUUUCCUCUUGUUGACUUGAGUUCGCAGCGCCAGCUGCAACUGUAUCUAGUCGAGUCCGCGUAACACAAGCGUCUGCAAGUGUCUGUGGAAUGUGUGUAGACUAGAGUGUGUGUGUUUGUGCGCGCACCGUAGUAUUUCCACCGGUCUGUCUGUGCUGAGAGUGCAUGGAGAAA